UACGUAGGGUGCAAGCGUUAAUCGGAGUUACUGGGCGUAAAGCGUGCGCAGGCGGCGUUGCAAGUCGAGUGUGAAAUCCCCGAGCUUAACUUGGGAAUUGCGCUCGAAACUACGAUGCUCGAGUAUGGCAGAGGAAGGUGGAAUUCCACGUGUAGCGGUGAAAUGCGUAGAGAUGUGGAGGAACACCGAUGGCGAAGGCAGCCUUCUGGGCCAAUACUGACGCUCAUGCACGAAAGCGUGGGGAGCAAACAGG
rnacentral:rRNA from 1 species